rnacentral:rRNA from 1 species
UACGGAGGGGGCUAGCGUUGCUCGGAAUUACUGGGCGUAAAGCGCACGUAGGCGGCUUUGUAAGUUAGAGGUGAAAGCCCAGGGCUUAACCCUGGAAUUGCCUUUAAGACUGCAUCGCUAGAAUCGUGGAGAGGUGAGUGGAAUUCCGAGUGUAGAGGUGAAAUUCGUAGAUAUUCGGAAGAACACCAGUGGCGAAGGCGACUCACUGGACACGUAUUGACGCUGAGGUGCGAAAGCGUGGGGAGCAAACAGG